ensembl:lncRNA
CUCCUGGCCUGCCAUUGCCUUGUUUGGCCUUGCCUUGCCUGGCCUGUCUGGGCACAGCCUUACUUUGUCUGGCCAGGCCUUGGCUGGCCUAGUUUUGUCUGGCCUGGCCUGGCCUGGCCUCGCCUGCCCUCGUGUCACCUGGACUCUCCUGGCCGUGCGUGUACUGGCCUGACCUUGCAUGGACUGGCCUUGCCUUGCCUGGCCUGUCCGGGCAUGGCCUUACUUUGUCUGGCCAGGCCUUUCCUGGCCUAGUUUUGCCUGGCCUGGCCUGGCCUGUUCUGUCCUGUCCUGUCCUUGCCUGUCUUCGUGUCACCUGGCCUCUCCUGGCCAUUCGUGUACUGGCCUGACCUUGCGUGGCCUGGCCUUGCCUUGCCUCGCUUUGUCUAGCCUGCUCUGCCCUGGCCUGGUCUCUCCUCGUCUCACCUGGCCUGCCCUGCUCUGGCCUGCCCUCCGUGGCCUGGCCUGGACUUGCCUUGCCUUUCCAUGCCUCUCCCUCUCCCUCUCCUUCUCCCUCUCCCUCUCCCUCUCCCUCACCCUCUCCGUCUCCCUGUCCCUUUCCCUUUCUGUUUCCCUCCUUGCCUUGCCUUGCCUUGCCUUGCCUUGCCUUGCCUGGCCUGGCCUGGCCUGGCCUGGCCUGGCCUGGCCUGGUGUUUCCUGGCCUGGCCUUGCCUUGCCUUGCCUUCCUUCACCUGGCCUUUUCUUGUCUCGCCUGGACUCGCCUCGCCUUGCCUGGUCUGGCAUCACCUAGCCUCAUCUGACCUUUGCUUACCUCGCCUAAACUUGCCUGGCCUUUCCUCUCCAUGCCUUACCUGGACUGGCCUGGCCAUGCCUGGACUGCCUUGGCCUGUCCUGGUCUGGCCUUGACUUGCCUUGCCCCGCCUGGCUGUGCCUGGCCUGGGCUGGCCUGUCCUGACCUGGCAUGGACUGGAAAGGCCAGGCAAGUUUAGGCGAGGUAAGCAAAGGUCAGAUGAGGCUAGGUGAUGCCAGACCAGGCAAGGCGAGGCGAGUCCAGGCGAGACAAGAAAAGGCCAGGUGAAGGAAGGCAAGGCAAGGCAAGGCCAGGCCAGGAAACACCAGGCCAGGCGAGGCCAGGCAAGGCCAGGCCAGGCCAGGCAAGGCAAGGCAAGGCAAGGCAAGGCAAGGCAAGGCAAGGCAAGGCAAGGAGGGAAACAGAAAGGGAAAGGGAUAGGGAGAGGGAGAGGGAGAGGGAGAGGGAGAGGCAUGGAAAGGCAAGGCAAGUCCAGGCCAGGCCACGGAGGGCAGGCCAGAGCAGGGCAGGCCAGGUGAGACGAGAAGAGACCAGGCCAGGGCAGAGCAGGCUAGACAAGGCGAGGCAAGGCAAGGCCAGGCCACGCAAGGUCAGGCCAGUACACGAACGGCCGGGAGAGGCCAGGUGACACGAAGACAGGCAAGGACAGGACAGGACAGAACAGGCCAGGCCAGGCCAGGCAAAACUAGGCCAGGAAAGGCCUGGCCAGACAAAGUAAGGCCAUGCCCGGACAGGCCAGGCAAGGCAAGGCCAAACAAGGCAAUGGCAGGCCAGGAGAGGUUAGGAAAGGCCAGGCUAACCUAGGAUAGGCCUGGCCAGGCCAGGCAAAAAAAGGCAAGGCAAGUCCAGGACAG